rnacentral:rRNA from 1 species
GAUGAACGCUGGCGGCGUGCCUAACACAUGCAAGUCGAACGAAUCAGAUAUUCAACACUGAGUAUUUAGACGAAGGAAAAAAGUUAGCCAGCGUCAAGGACGAACGAUAGAGAGUCCUUUACGCGUUCAAAAAGUGUGCUAACACAUGAUAGUCUGAAUGUUGAGUGUUGAAUAUCUGAUUAGUGGCGGACGGGUGAGUAACGCGUGGGAAACCUGCCCUAUACAGGGGGAUAGCCUCGGGAAACUGGGAUUAAUACCCCAUAAAACUCUAGUAUCGCAUGAUACAUGAGCCAAAGAUUUAUCGGUAUAGGAUGGUCCCGCGUCUGAUUAGCUAGUUGGUGAGGUAACGGCUCACCGAGGCGACGAUCAGUAGCCGGCCUGAGAGGGUGAACGGCCACACUGGAACUGAGACACGGUCCAGACUCCUACGGGAGGCAGCAGUGGGGAAUAUUGCACAAUGGGGAAACCCUGAUGCAGCGACGCCGCGU